CACGGAUUAUUGAAACUCAUAAAGUAGAUGAGUCAUUGUGAUAUAUGGAGUAAUAAUUCGUGUCAAGAAGAUGGUUGAUAAUUAGUAAAGAAGGGGGAGGUGUGGAAGUGUGGCCAUGGGGGUCGACAAGCCCCAUGGUUGGUGAUAACAUCAGACUCUUAACGAUGAGGCCAUCAGGAAUAUAAAGAGUUUAGAGGGAACAAGGAAGGGUGAUUGAGGAAACGCCUUGCUGUCUUGGGUUGCUUGUUCUCCAGCCGCUAAGGCAUGGAAGUUUCUGGGUUUGCGGUUGCCGGGCAAAGUUGUUGACCAAUGAAUAGUUAGUGGAAAAGAACUGCUGUGGGGCGAAGGGUGUAAGAGGGGAGCCUGUCCUCAAGAU